CCCACAUGGCCACUGGAAACAGGAAACACGUUGCAGCAGUAAUGGUUAUGGCAUGAAGCCUCCUUUUAAGUUGAUUCUUGAGUGAAACACGCCGUGCAAUCACCCUUCUUAAAGCUGAUAAUAUUCCAGCAAGGAUUGGAAUUGUCAUUGCUGUCAUACUCAAAACUUCUUCUGUGUGAUCCUCAGUAUCAACAGUAUCUUUGAAUGAAAAAGGUGAAUAUGUGGC
rnacentral:misc_RNA from 1 species